ACUCAAAUGAAUUGACGGGGGCCCGCACAAGCAGCGGAGCGUGUGGUUUAAUUCGAGGCUACACGAAGAACCUUACCUGGGUUUGACAUGCAGGUGGUAGGGGCAUGAAAGUGUUCCGACCUUCGGGAGCCUGCACAGGUGCUGCAUGGCUGUCGUCAGCUCGUGCCGUGAGGUGUUAGGUUAAGUCCUGUAACGAGCGCAACCCCCGGAGCUAGUUAUACGUGUCUAGCUCGACUGCCCGUGACAAGCGGGAGGAAGGUGGGGAUGACGUCAAGUCAGCAUGGCCUUUAUAUCCAGGGCUACACACACGCUACAAUGGUCGGUACAAUGGGAAGCCAAGCCGCAAGGCGGAGCAAAUCCAGGCAAAGCCGGUCACAGUUCGGAUUGUGGGCUGCAACCCGCCCACAUGAAGUUGGAGUUGCUAGUAACCGCGCGUCAGCCAUAGUGCGGUGAAUACGUUCCCGGGCCUUGUACACACCGCCCGU
rnacentral:rRNA from 1 species